UACGUAGGUGGCAAGCGUUUGUCCGGAAUUAUUGGGCGUAAAGCGCGCGCAGGCGGCUUCUUAAGUCUGAUGUGAAAUCUCGGGGCUCAACCCCGAGCGGCCAUUGGAAACUGGGAGCUUGAGUACAGAAGAGGAGAGUGGAAUUCCACGUGUAGCGGUGAAAUGCGUAGAUAUGUGGAGGAACACCAGUGGCGAAGGCGACUCUCUGGUCUGUAACUGACGCUGAGGCGCGAAAGCGUGGGGAGCAAACAGGA
rnacentral:rRNA from 1 species